CGCGUAGGCGGGUUCUUAAGUGAGGGGUGAAAGGUUCGGGCUCAACCCGAACACUGCCUUUCAUACUGGGAGCCUUGAGUGCGGGAGAGGCGAGUGGAAUGGUCGGUGUAGCGGUGAAAUGCGUAGAUAUCGAUCGGAACACCCAUGGCGAAGGCAGCUCGCUGGCCUGCAACUGACGCUGAGGCGCGAAAGCGUGGGGAGCAAACAGGAUUAGAUACCCUGGUAGUCCACGCCGUAAACGAUGAGUGCUAGGUGUCAGGGGUAUCGACCCCCCUGGUGCCGCAGCUAACGCAAUAAGCACUCCGCCUGGGGAGUACGGCCGCAAGGUUGAA
rnacentral:rRNA from 1 species